rnacentral:tRNA from 1 species
GUGCCCGUAGUUCAAUGGUAGAACGCCGCCCUGUGGAGGCGGUCACGAGGGUUCGAUUCCCUUCGGGCACC